AUUGAGCGCUGGCGGCAUGCUUUACACAUGCAAGUCGAACGGCAGCGCGGGCUUCGGCCUGGCGGCGAGUGGCGAACGGGUGAGUAAUAUAUCGGAACGUACCCAGGAGUGGGGGAUAACGUAGCGAAAGUUACGCUAAUACCGCAUACGUCCUAAGGGAGAAAGUGGGGGAUCGCAAGACCUCAUGCUCAUGGAGCGGCCGAUAUCUGAUUAGCUAGUUGGUGGGGUAAAGGCUCACCAAGGCAACGAUCAGUAGCUGGUCUGAGAGGACGACCAGCCACACUGGAACUGAGACACGGUCCAGACUCCUACGGGAGGCAGCAGUGGGGAAUUUUGGACAAUGGGGCAAUCCUGAUCCAGCAAUGCCGCGUGAGUGAAGAAGGCCUUCGGGUUGUAAAGCUCUUUUGUCAGGGAAGAAAUGACUCCUUCUAAUACAGGGGGUUAAUGACGGUACCUGAAGAAUAAGCACCGGCUAACUACGUGCCAGCCGCCGCCGUAA
rnacentral:rRNA from 1 species